rnacentral:rRNA from 1 species
CUACGGGAGGCUGCAGUCGAGAAUCUUCCGCAAUGGGCGAAAGCCUGACGGAGCAAUGCCGCGUGUAGGAUGAAGGCCCUUGGGUCGUAAACUACUGUCACCGGGGAUGAACCACGACAGUACCCGGAGAGGAAGCCACGGCUAACUACGUGCCAGCAGCCGCGGUAAUACGUAGGUGGCGAGCGUUGUUCGGAUUUAUUGGGCGUAAAGGGUUCGUAGGUGGUUUUCUAAGGUUGAUGUGAAAUCCCGAGGCUUAACCUCGGAACUGCAUUGAAAACUGGAGGACUUGAGGAUCGGAGAGGAGAGCGGAAUUCCAGGUGUAGCGGUGGAAUGCGUAGAUAUCUGGAAGAACACCGACAGCGAAGGCAGCUCUCUGGACGGUACCUGACACUGAGGGACGAAAGCGUGGGUAGCGAACAGGAUUAGAUACCCCGGUAGUC